UUAGAGGCUGGAUUUUUGCAUGUGAAUCCACAUGCAAAAGAAUGAAUUUAGAGCUGUACUUCACAGCAUAUAGAAAAAUUAACUCAAAAUGGACCUCUAAAGCUCUUAAAUGAAAACAUAAGGGUAAAUCUUUGUGACCUUGGAUUAGGCAACAGUUCUCUAGAUAUGACACCAAAAGCACAGGCAAUGAAAGGAAAAAAUAAACUGGACUUCAUCAAAAUAAAAACUUUUGUUUUUGGAAGAACACUAUCAUGAAAGUGAGAAGACCACCAACAGAACAGGAGAGGAUAUUUGCAAAUCAUAUAUCUGAUAAGGGAUUUGUAUCUAGAAUAUAUAAAGAACUCUUACAACUCAACAGUAAGACAAAUUGCCUAAUUAAAAAUAGGCAAAUGGACAUGUCUCCAAAGAAGAUACACAGAUGGCCAAUAAGCGUUUGAAAAAAAUGCUCAACAUCAUUACAGAAAACCACAAUGAGAUACCACUUUACACCCACUAGGAUGGCUACAGUCAAAAAGAUGGAAAGUAACAAGUGUUGGUGAGGAUGUGGAGAAAUUGGAGCUCUCAUACACUGCUGAUGGGAAUGUAAAAUGGUGCAGCCCCUCUGGAAAACAGUCCAGCAUUUCCUCAGACAGUGAUACAUAGAAUUACCAUAGUACAGUUAACUCCUCUCCUAGGUAUAAACUCAAAAGAAAUGAAAACGUGUUCAAAUAGGUAAUGGUACAUGAAUAUUCAUAGUAACAUUGUUCAUAAUAGCCAGAAAGUAGAAACAACCCAAAUGUCCAUUAGCUGAUGAAUCAAUAAACUAAAUGGGGUGUAUCCAUACAAUGGUAUAUUAUUCAUCCAUAAGAAGGAAGAGAGUACUGAUACAUGCUGUAACAUUGAGGAACCUUAAAAACAUGAUGUUUGGUUGCAAAGUUUCAGUAUGGAAGAUGAAAAUAGUUCUGGAGAUGGAUGGUGGCCAUAGUUAUGCAACAAUGUGAAUGUGCUUAAUGCCACUGAACUCUACACAUGAAAAUGGUAAGACAGUAAAUGUUAUGUAUAUUUUACAGUAAUAAUUUUUUUAAAACAUGCUAAGUGAAGGGAGCUGGACACAAAAGGCCAUAUAUUGUAUGAGUCCAUUUAUAUGAAAUGCCCAGAACAGGCAAAUCCAGAGACAGAAAAUAAACUAGUGGUGGCCUAGGACUGCAAGAGAUGGGAAUGGGGAGGAACUGCUAAUGGAUUUCGGGUUUCUUUUUGGGGUGAUGAAUGUUCUAGAAUUAGAUGGUGGUGAUGGACCUGUGAAUAUACUAAAAACCACUGAAACGUAGGCUUUUAAAUGGUGAAUUUUAUGGUAUGAAUCAUAGCAAUAAAAAAAUACAGGAUUUGUAGUUUCAUGCUAUAUUUGAAAGGAAAUUCAGUCCAGGCUGUUGAAUGGGGAAACAAUUUCUUUAACAUACAGCCUUCAAGCCAGCAGAGCAUGUGGAAGCCUUGAUCUUCUGAGGUGCUGGUGCUGUUUCUUGCCUUCCUGUAUCAAAGCUCAUUUUAGGAAAUGUGAUUUUAAAAUUGGACACCAUCCAAAGAUCAUGCCAAGAUGACAAAGGAUAUUAUUCAUGCAAGCAGUGCAAUUCCAAAGAUGUGAUCUGAGCUAUAGUUCUUUGUAUGUUUUUGAUUCCCUCUCUACUCAGAAGUGGUCCACAGGGCUUCCCUGGUGACGCAGUGGUUAAGAAUCCACCUGCCAAUGCAGGGGACAUGGGUUUGAGCCCUGGUCCGGGAAGAUCCCACAUGCCGCAGAGCAACGAAGCCCGUGCGCCACAGCUACCGAGCCUGCGCUCUAGAGCCCAGGAGCCACAACUACUGAGCCCGUGUGCCACAACUACUGAAGCCCAUGCACCUAGAGCCCGUGCUCCGCAACAAGAGAGGCCACUGCAAUGAGAAGCCCGUGCACCGCAACAAAGAGCAGCCCCGGCUUGUUGCAACCAGAGAAAGCCCACGUGCAGCAACAAAGGCCCAACGCAGCCAAAAAUAAAUUAAA